UACGUAGGAUGCAAGCGUUGUCCGGAUUUACUGGGCGUAAAGCGUGCGCAGGCGGUUCGUUAAGUCAGAUGUGAAAGCCCCGGGCUCAACCUGGGAACUGCAUUGGAAACUGCCCGGCUAGAGUGUUGGAGGGGGGACUGGAAUUCUCGGUGUAGCAGUGAAAUGCGUAGAUAUCGAGAGGAACACCAGUGGCGAAGGCGAGUCCCUGGACAACUACUGACACUGAGGCACGAAAGCUAGGGGAGCAAACAGG
rnacentral:rRNA from 1 species